AUGCCUAUUUCUGCCCUUCACCCAAACAAGUUGUGGUGCAACGACAAGCUGCAACGGCAGGGCUGGAGCAAUGGCUAUUUCUACCCUCUCUGCCUCGGGAGCUUAGAGUGCUCGGUGCACCUGUCCUGGCACUGCCCGAUCGCCAAGCAGGUGUGGGAAGCUGUCGCCACCUGGGUUGGCUGCCGAGCUGCGAACCCGGCCACUUGGGGGCACCUCGACAAGGCAACUGACAUCGUUGAAGUGAUCGUUGUUGCAACACCUGGAGAUGAACGGAAGGGAAUCAAGUCUAUCAUUAUGAUUGUGCUUUGGCAACUAUGUCUUGAGCGCAACAAUUGCAUUUUUCGGGCUAAGCAUGCGCUGGUCAGAGACGUGGUGGCCUCAAGCCACCGAGCCAUUGAGCUAUGGCGCCAGGCAGGAGCACGCUGCCUAUAG
rnacentral:rRNA from 1 species